CGGGGGAGGCGGGAUCCUGGGCUGUGUCCCGGCGCCCUGUGCUCCGGUGCCUGCGCUGGUGGAUUCACGCUCCCGCCCCGCAGCCCCCU
rnacentral:pre_miRNA from 1 species